rnacentral:rRNA from 1 species
AGAGUUUGAUCAUGGCUCAGGACGAACGCUGGCGGCGUGCUUAACACAUGCAAGUCGAACGGAAAGGCCCCUUCGGGGGUACUCGAGUGGCGAACGGGUGAGUAACACGUGGGUGAUCUGCCCUGCACUUUGGGAUAAGCCUGGGAAACUGGGUCUAAUACCGAAUAGGACCGCAUGCUUCAUGGUGUGUGGUGGAAAGCUUUUGCGGUGUGGGAUGGGCCCGCGGCCUAUCAGCUUGUUGGUGGGGUAAUGGCCUACCAAGGCGACGACGGGUAGCCGGCCUGAGAGGGUGUCCGGCCACACUGGGACUGAGAUACGGCCCAGACUCCUACGGGAGGCAGCAGUGGGGAAUAUUGCACAAUGGGCGCAAGCCUGAUGCAGCGACGCCGCGUGGGGGAUGACGGCCUUCGGGUUGUAAACCUCUUUCAGUACAGACGAAGCGCGAGUGACGGUAUGUGCAGAAGAAGGACCGGCCAACUACGUGCCAGCAGCCGCGGUAAUACGUAGGGUCCGAGCGUUGUCCGGAAUUACUGGGCGUAAAGAGCUCGUAGGUGGUUUGUCGCGUUGUUCGUGAAAACUCACAGCUUAACUGUGGGCGUGCGGGCGAUACGGGCAUACUGGAGUACUGCAGGGGAGACUGGAAUUCCUGGUGUAGCGGUGGAAUGCGCAGAUAUCAGGAGGAACACCGGUGGCGAAGGCGGGUCUCUGGGCAGUAACUGACGCUGAGGAGCGAAAGCGUGGGUAGCGAACAGGAUUAGAUACCCUGGUAGUCCAA